ensembl:lncRNA
CACAUGAAAGGCAUUAACUUAUAAUUCCUAGUAGACUCCUGAGUACCUGUUAAUAAUUAUGGCUGACCUUUUGGCCUUAGAAGCUUUGAGUUACCUGGUGCUAAACAUUUUAGAAACAGCAUAUGAUGCUGAAAGUGAAAAGGUUCCUGUCCUGCUGUCUGGGGGAGAGUUUUGGUAGCCUGCCCGGCCAACCCUAGCCCAGAGUACUCCCAGGUGUGGGAACAAGGCUGCCCACCAUCGCAUUGGCAUCAACAUAACUGAUAGCUCUCAACAUGCUGCAUCAGCGAAAGCACACAGACAAAUGAGGCUGGCCAUGGAGUCACACCAGCCUCAGCAGGACCUGUACAGAUCAGCUGUGAUCACCAGGGUUGCACAACCUUCCACAAGUGAGAAGUGGACUCUGGACAGCGAGAUAUGCAUUACAAGAUAAAGCUGUCCUGCUAUGCCACAGCAGUUGAAGAGUCUGAGCAUGCCUCAGUGGCCCUGCGCUCCCAGCACACAAAGCCAUCUGCAGCCACCAGUCAUUUGGAGCAGCCUCUCACAUGCUGGCUUUCCUACAGGGAGUUUCUCACAGCAGGAUCAGCCGCCCUUCCAGCACAUCACAGGUGUUCUCCACAUGGCAUGAGCAGCAUUUCUCUCCUCCGGUUCUGGGAGAGGAAAUUCUGCAAACCAAAUGUGAACUCAGGAAAGGGAGGUCCUAGCAAACUUGCUGUGCCAAAGGCAAACACAAAAGGCUCACCUCUGCAGUUGUGCCCGACUGAGCAGUGCCAGCAAAUAGAGGAGCGCGGUGCCAGACUCAUACAGAGUGGUACGGGGUCAAGGCAAGGCUUUUUGCUGGGAACAGGGUGUGUGCGGGCUGAAAAGCACUGAGGAGGAACUGAGGCCAUGGCUGAUCCUGGGGGGUGCGCAGAUCAGCUCUGCAGGCGAGGUUAGUGCCUUUGCUCCUCUGUCAUCACCAGUCCCUGAGAGCAAUCACCACCCACCAACAGUUCCUCAAGAUAAGACCGAGCCAGCUGGGAGAAGAAAUCCUUUGAUAUUUCCCUGCCUCGCUGACUGCGUUUUUCACAGCUCACAUCUCAGAGAGGACCAGCAGAGAUGACUGGGCACGUAAGAAUAACACUGGAGUGGUAUGCAAGGAAGGUGCUAAUCUUCUGCCAUGUGUGUAGGGCCUGGGCAGAAUGAGGCAGAGCGCAGUGCUGGAGUCUCCCUGAUCCUCCCAUGGAUAUCAGCAGCUGCCACACCUGGAGUCUGCAGCAAAGCUCCUUCCUCCAGAGGCCAAGAGCUGAGCCUACUGUUUCCAGCAAGAGAGAAGCCUGCGCUUGCUGGGGGACUUGCUGGUGGGGCAGUGCUGUGUGGAAGGGCUGUGCUCACACCAUGAGAUGAGGCCAUCUAACAGAUGAAGCAUGCAGGAUUUGCACUGACCGACGCCUGCACGGCUUCAGAGCUGUUUAUGGAUGUAAGGCUUGUCGUGGCUCUUCUCCCAGACACCUCGCUGCUGUCACAGCUCAGCGUUUGCCAUAUGUUUCAGCCCAGUGCUCGAAGCCUAAUAAAAAUGUCUAGCUGUAAAUCACCAGAGGUGUAGGCUGUGACCCUCUUUACUCCUACCUCUUCCACCACCUCUCAGCCACCCUUUUCCAGAUACUGGAAGCAAUAUAGCAAGAGUGAUUCUCCCAUCGGCCUUCUGCCAGAGCAGUGAUGCCAGAUUCGAGACCUUGAUGUCUUUCUUGUAGUGAGGAGCCCAAACUGAACUCAGUACUUGAGG